AAAGAAACCAACUGGGAUUACCUUAGUAACGGCGAGUGAAGCGGUAAAAGCUCAAAUUUGAAAUCUGGUACUUUCAGUGCCCGAGUUGUAAUUUGUAGAAUUUGUCUUUGAUUAGGUCCUUGUCUAUGUUCCUUGGAACAGGACGUCAUAGAGGGUGAGAAUCCCGUUUGGCGAGGAUACCUUUUCUCUGUAAGACUUUUUCGAAGAGUCGAGUUGUUUGGGAAUGCAGCUCAAAGUGGGUGGUAAAUUCCAUCUAAAGCUAAAUAUUGGCGAGAGACCGAUAGCGAACAAGUACAGUGAUGGAAAGAUGAAAAGAACUUUGAAAAGAGAGUGAAAAAGUACGUGAAAUUGUUGAAAGGGAAGGGCAUUUGAUCAGACAUGGUGUUUUUUGCAUGCACUCGCCUCUCGUGGGCUUGGGCCUCUCAAAAAUUUCACUGGGCCAACAUCAAUUCUGGCAGUAGGAUAAAUCAUUAAGAAUGUAGCUACCUCGGUAGUGUUAUAGCUUAUUGGAAUACUGCUAGCUGGGAUUGAGGACUGCGCUUCGGCAAGGAUGUUGGC
rnacentral:rRNA from 1 species